rnacentral:lncRNA from 1 species
CCCGACUCCACGCCUGUUCCUCCAGCCGCAGGAGGGAAAGGGAUUUCUGAAUCCAUCUGACAUGUCGGAUUUCUUUGUGGCAUCCACUCCAUCGCUCAGCAGCCAGCCAUGAUGUCAUAAGCCCAUCAGAUUUCCGGCUUCACACCUUUGGGAAGAAUAAGAGACACUAGCGUCCCCUGCCAGAGCUCUGCCUUGAGCUCCCGCCUCCAAGAUACAUGGACACCUGGAGCCACGGGGGCAAUGACAAGCAAAUCCAGAAGUCCCAAAACAACACAACCCCCAUCCCUCUGUCUCAUCUAUACUGCCCUAUACUCCCCCAACCCACACCCACACCCAAACCUCCUCACUGAAGCUGAGAAAAGCAGCCAGAACGCAUGGUGUUAGUCCUGUCUUCUGAUUCCUAGAGUGGGACACCAAGUUACCCUCUUUCUCAGAUUCCUCACUGGAGAGACGGGGACACUUCAAAUGCAGCCAAUUGCACCAAAGAGCAGAUUAGCGGAAUCAAGGUCUCCUGCCUCAUCUUACUACCCGGGGGAAAAGGGGGCUGCUGAACCCGAGGCUUGGAGCUCCCACCCGCACAAGUCGCCAUAACCAAGAACCUAAGAUUCUGGGGACGCCGCGGGGUCUUCGUGUGUGCGAGCUGCCCCUUUCCCCUCCGGGAGUUACUCAACGCACUCCAGCAAACUUUCCAGAAGCGUCUACAGCUUCCCGUGGCUCUGCAACACUACCAACCAUCAACUCGCGUCCACAGCCUCGCUUGCUCCCGGCUACCUGGAGGUCCCCCGAGUCCCAGGACCGCGCGCACCUCCACACACUCUCCAGCCACUGCGGACCUCAGCCUUGGGGAUCAGUCUGUCCCCGUUUCAGAUCUCCCGGGCGCCUCCUCCGCACCACCUGCGCUCAUCUACACCGCCUCGGGGGUCCUCGGGUCGCUUGCGUCUACACAGCUUCAGCAGUCUCCGGGUCUACACAACCCAGCACAUGAGCGAUGCCCUCAAGGUUCACCCAGUGUCUCAUCCCAGUGCCUACCUUGCCUACUACAGUUCCUCACGCUCCCGUCCUGGCUGUGCCUUCUGGUUCACACACAUUUUGCAAUCUUGUCAGUAGAGAAAGGAAAGGAAAUCUUGUAAUCCUCCUGCAGCCACGUGGUGUUUGCCCCUAACCCCCUUCUCCGUUUUUUUAGUUGUUUUGUUCUUUUUUUUUUUUUCCUUUAGAACAAUAUUCAU